rnacentral:lncRNA from 1 species
CAGUGCGACCCGGGAAGACUAAGAGCAACGUGAACAGACGGAGACCCGAGCACCCACUGUACUAAAUGAACCACGGUGGGAGGGGAUGGAGGGGAGGGGCGCUCGGAUAGGGAGCAGUUUGUCCACAGCAAUGUCAAGCCCCAGGAUCAACGUGGAAUCCCAUCACCUUUGGAUUUCUUGUUAUACAAGACAACAUCUCUUUUAAUCUCGCCUCCAUUUAGGUGGGCUUUUUAUGGAAGCUCUCCAAUAGACAAUUCUGCCAACUUGAGAGCAAGAAGGACAGUCUCAGGGAAACUCCGCAGCGAAUGUGAAUCAGUGGCUUCGGUGCCGCGCAAGGGUUCUUUCCACGCCCUUCAGGAGGCUGGCACCUUGUUGAGACUGGGUCUUUAUUCCUGAAGAGGAAAUCAUGGCUACUGCUCUACAAUGCUCCUUAUAAUUGCAUCCAGAGUCUGGUUCAAAUCUGACUCACCCGUGGGUGUCACCUGGGCUGAGGACCAAAAGGUCUUCUCUGUAGCCCCUGUCCAGACCACCCUAGCCUGGGACCCCAGGAGCUCAGGCAGAAACUGCUAAGCGAACACUCCUCUUUGGAACCCUAGGGGAGACGACAGCUUUUGGAAACAGGAUGUAUGUUAUUUGCAGGCACAAACAAUGCAUAAAAUCAAAUACAGCAAUUGUAUUAGGAGAUUGCUGAGAAAUAGGCAAGAACUGCUGAGAAGAGAGUUUUUUCUUCUCUUCUGUAGGUAAGUCCAUGAACAGAAGAGUGUGUCAGAGGCAUUUUAUUUUUCUGGUUGAAUAUUCUUGACAAUGUGAAGUUAUACCGCAGAAUCCAAUCACUGAGUUGGGUUGGAUAUUUCAUUCUGAAAAGCGUUGCAAGUCUGACCCUCUCUGCUCCAGUCAGGAACUCCUGUCAUUCCCCACCCCCACAGCCUUCCCCAGCAUUCACAAUGCUCACACACGGGCCCGCCUGCCAGUCUGUCCUCUUCCUCCCAGGCUGUCCCCAUCAGGGGAUCUUGCUGCUAUGUCCUGGUGAUGGGACUUCUCAGACGCUGAGCCCCUGCCGGCAACGCUCUCCCUCGCCAAGUCCGAAUCCCACAGAACCUUUGAGACACGGCUCCAACAAGGGUGCAGCACCCGCCAGGCCGAGAGCCUGCAUUUGGCUUGUCCUAUUUGUCACCAUUUAACGUGUUUCCUCCUCAGCCUGGGUCUUCUUUGGGACUAUCAGCACAACACAGGUUUUCAACAAAUAGUUACCGAAUAAAUAAACCUCUCCCUGUUGCCAGAGCAGGCACCACACACGGGAUCCCUAAGGGGCUCCAGUGGGUGCUACAAAACGAUGCUGAGAGUUCCUUUAGUCUUCUCAGAUGGCAGCAAAUUUUUGGUGUCCCAAAUAAUAGGGAAAGAAAAUGGAUUACAUGUGGUCUCUAGAAGGUUUCAGACACUCAUUUGGGCCAGUCCUGCCAGUGGCCAACCUCCUACUUCACCCCAAUGUCAAUCAAAAUUGCUAAAUAAUUUGGGCCAGGUGCGGUGGCUCAUGCCUGUAAUCCCAGUACUUUGGGAGGCCGAGGCGGGUGGAUCACUUCAGGUCAGGAGUUUGAGACCAGCCUGGGCAACAUGGUGAGACCUCGUCUCUACUAAAAAUACAAAAAAGUAGCCGGGUGUGGUGGUGGGGGCCUGUAAUCCCAGCUACUCGGGAGGCUGAGGCAGGAGAAUCACUUGAACCCAGGAGACAGAGGUUGCAGUGAGCCAAGAUUGCACCACUGCGCUCCAGCCUGGGCGACAAAGUGAGACUCUGUCUUGAAAAAAAAAUUGUUAAAUAAUUGGUCAAGGUUAUGUUUCCUUGAACCCUUGUGGGGCUGUUCAAAUGUAGGUACUUUUGCUUCUGUUGUUGAGAUGGGAAUCUUACUUCGUUGCCCAGGCUGGUCUUAAACUCCUGGGCUAAGCGAUCCUCCUGCCUCAGCCUCCUGAAUAGCUGGGAUUACAGGCACGCACUACUGUGGCCUGGCUCAAAUGCAGGAAUUUAAAAGGUACCGAAGGUCAGGUGCAGUGGCUCACGCCUGUAAUCCCAGCACUUUGGGAGGCCGAAGCUGGCGGAUCACUUGAGGUCAGGAGUUCAAGACCAGCCUGGCCAAUAUGGUGAAACCUCAUCUCUACUAAAAAUUCAAAACAUUAGCCAGGUAUGGUGGUGAGUGCCUGUAAUCCCAGCUACCUUGGAGGCUGAAGCGGGAGAAUCGCUGGAAUCACUGAGGCGGAGGUUGCAGUGAGUCGAGAUUGCGCCGCCACACUCCAGCCU